rnacentral:sRNA from 1 species
CAGCGCAGCCUAACGGGGUUUUUCGUUUCGUGAGUUAACCCGCCAUUAUCGGCGGGUUUUUUAUUGUUCAUA